rnacentral:rRNA from 1 species
AUGGAUUCCAUCAUGGCUAACGGGACAUGGGAGAUCACUGAGCGUCCCUAUGGUUGCAAACCAUUGGGAUGUAAGUGGGUGUUCAAGAAAAAGCUUAGGCCCGAUGGUACGAUUGAAAAGUACAAGGCCAGGCUUGUGGCCAAGGGCUAUGACCAGAAAGAAGAUGAAGAUUUCUUCGAUACUUAUUCACCUGUGGCUAGACUGACCACCAUUCGAGUAUUACUCUCGUUGGCGGCCUCACAUGGUCUUCUCGUCCAUCAAAUGGAUGUUAAGACGGCUUUUCUGAAUGGAGAGCUAAAUGAGGAAAUCUACAUGCAACAGCCAUAUGGCUUUGUGAUAGAUGGUCAGGAAAGGAAGGUGUGUAAGUUGCUGAAAUCUUUAUAUGGCCUGAAGCAAGCACCUAAGCAAUGGCAUGAUAAGUUCAAUACAACUCUGACAUCUGUUGGUUUCGUUGUUAAUGAGGCUGACAAAUGUGUAUACUAUCGCCAUGGUGGGGGCGAAGGAGGGAUCACACUUCUGCAAUCCCAUUAUAUUGAGAAGGUGUUGAGUCGUUUUGGAUAUUCGGACUGCACACCAUCUCAAACACCAUAUAAUCCUAGCGUGUUGAUUCGAAAGUCCAAAGGCAUGGCUAAAGAUUAA